rnacentral:rRNA from 1 species
GACGAACGCUGGCGGCGUGCUUAACACAUGCAAGUCGAACGGAAAGGCCCUGCUUUUGUGGGGUGCUCGAGUGGCGAACGGGUGAGUAACACGUGAGUAACCUGCCCUUGACUUUGGGAUAACUUCAGGAAACUGGGGCUAAUACCGGAUAGGAGCUCCUGCUGCAUGGUGGGGGUUGGAAAGUUUCGGCGGUUGGGGAUGGACUCGCGGCUUAUCAGCUUGUUGGUGGGGUAGUGGCUUACCAAGGCUUUGACGGGUAGCCGGCCUGAGAGGGUGACCGGCCACAUUGGGACUGAGAUACGGCCCAGACUCCUACGGGAGGCAGCAGUGGGGAAAAUUGCACAAUGGGCGGAAGCCUGAUGCAGCAACGCCGCGUGCGGGAUGACGGCCUUCGGGUUGUAAACCGCUUUCGCCUGUGACGAAGCGUGAGUGACGGUAAUGGGUAAAGAAGCACCGGCUAACUACGUG